rnacentral:rRNA from 1 species
AUGGGGGCGACGGGAGCAACGGCCAGAGCAACAAGUGCGUCGGCCGCGGCGGGGGGUAGUAAUGUUCAGGUGCGAGAGAUCUUCAUCACGGUGUGCUUCACGCUUAUUGACGGUGGUCAACGUUGGUCCUUCACAACGGUGUAUGGACUUCAUGAUGCGCAUAGGAAGCCUGCUUUCCUCAUGGAGCUCCUCCCGGCGCCGUCCGCCACCCACCUGCCCCCGGCUUCCGGCGCCACCCGCCCCCACCUCCCCACAGCUCCCGACUCCGCCCGCCCCCCAACUCCACCCCGCAUCCCGGCGCCGCCCCGCCCCCACUUCCUCCCUCGCUCCCGGCGCCGCCCCCUGCUUCCACCCAACGCCGGCGCCGCCCCUGCUUCUACCCGCCACCGGCGCCGCCCUGACUCGCCGCUUCCCCCCGCUAUCGACGUGCCUCCCUGCUUCCAAGCGCCACCGUUGCCACUCUGCAUCCAGCCGUCGCCGUCGGGAGCCACCAUAGCGCCACCAAUCGCUGCGACCAGCCGUCCCUACCACCGUCUUGGCGACCCUCCCCAACCCCCGCAGCGGACCGUCGCAUCCACGUCGCUGCAUCUCGCGGCCACUGCGCGCCAUCCAACUCGGCAGUCCAACUGCUUGCUCCAUGCUCGGUCGCUCAAGGAGCUGCGUGAAGGUCACCCCGCGCUCCACCUUCCGGACACGCGACCCCGUCGCCGUGCUCCUGCAGCCACCUCCGGGGCGGUGUGCCCGGCCUCCUCUCUCCUCCUGCCACCUCCUAGCGCCGCGCCGAGCACACCGCGGGUUGCCUCUUCCUCUUGCUUACUCCCGCACGAGGCACGCUGCGCCGAGCACGCACCCGGCCGCCCCCCACCUCCGGACAAAAAUGAAAAAAAGCAUCCUUUUCAGUGCACCUUCGUAUGCAUUUUCAGUUCAUUUUACAGGUCAAGGACAAUCCUGAAGCGCCUCCUCAAGCUCUGCGACGAUAACUGGGCGCCCAUCGAGGACGAGAGCUACCGCAUCCUUGUUGACACCAUACUGGGUGGCAAAAGCAAUGAACCAAUACCUACCACUACCCGUCAUCCUUUCCAAAUUGCAGUUUUCACAUCAGGUGACGUGCCAAAAAGAGUCCAAGGCUCACAACCCGACGCGGGGUCAGACCAGAUGACCAACACCUCUCCUGCUCAGUAUGACAAGGAUAAAAAAACAGUUUCAUGCGAUGAGCCCGUCCCCAGCGCCGCCAGCCUCAUGUCCUUCCCUCCCGCUUCCGCAUGCACCCACCGCCGCCACGACCACGUCUCCACCCUCACCACGCCCGCCACCGCUGUGACCACCCCUCCCCCUCACGAUUUCUCGUUGAUAUCGCUGUAUUCGUGCUUGUUACGUGAGUUGCCUGAUGGAAGUUCUGCAACUGUCAGUCCAGAUGGAAGAAGGAGAUCCGUCCAAAUCCAAGUGGGAGAACAAAACUGCCACCGAACUGACGCCCCCUUCUCCCAGGAACCACCGCUGUCGGUACUUGCUUCCUGCGCCCCGCCGCUGCCCGGGGACCCAACGCGCUGCCGCUCCUCUGAUUCUGCUCCCCGGCUGUUGGGCUGUAUAUGUGUGAAUUUGGCCCAUGUGGCCCAUGUCGCCGGCGGUGAAUCGGCUGCGCGGGGCACUAGAGGCGGGACCGGCGGUGGUAGAGGCGCGCCUGGAGAGGACCGGCGGGCGCGGCUGCGUGCGAGCGCGCGGGCUGCCUGCGGAGCGCCUAGAGGGGAUUGGAGGCUACGGGCUGCACUGCUCUCUCCCGUGAAGAGGUGCGCGCGCGCGAAGUGCUGCUGGUGCUGCGGGUGCUACUGUGUGUGGCAGAGGACAGAGGAAGGAGGCAGCUGCGCCAGGGGAGAGGCCAAGUACUGGCUGGUUUGCUGCUUGUGCGGCUGGUUUGCUGCUGCUGGAGAAAGACUGAGAACUGUCUGCAGUUGCUGCUGCUUGCUGUUGGUGCGGCAGAGGGUGCUCUUUGCACUCCUGCUGCUUGCGGCUGCUGUGUGCUGGAACUGCUGUUGUUUGCAGAGGAGAAGGAGGAAGAGGCUGUUGUUGCUGCUUGCAACUGCUGUUGCUGACUCUGUUGCUGCUGGUGGUGUACUACAGUGGAAAAAUCAGGGACUCGAGAAGGCAAUUGAAAAAUUGGCUGAGCUCCUAACAGCCAAGGUAGGAGCUGCAGCAUCUCCAAAUAAUGCAAUUGUUCCUCACAUUGAGCCGAUUCAGAAAAUUGACUUGAUGCCAAAUGAAGUUAAGCUGGAAGGUGUUAAGAAUUAUUUGAUCUGGUCAAGAAGGGCGCUACUCAUCUUGAGGACUAAAGGGCUUGAGGGCUUUGUUAGUGGUGAGGCAGAGGAGCCAGGAGACACGAAAACUGCAGAAUGGAGGACAUGGAGCAGUACCAACUCUUUGAUAGUGGCAUGGUUGUUGAACUCCUUGUCUCCAAACAUUGCUGCAACUGUUGAGACUAUCUCAACUGCUUCUGAGGUAUGGAAAACCCUCUCAAAACUGUACUCAGGUGAAGGGAAUGUGAUGUUAAUAGCUGAAACAGAGGAGAGAGUUGGUGAACUCAGACAAGGGGAAAAUUCUAUGAUGGAGUAUGUUGCUGAACUGCAGCAUUUGUGGGCUGAUUUAGAUCACUAUGAUCCUCUGGAUUUGCUACAUGCAGAUUGCAUAGCAGCUGCUAGAAAAUGGAUUGAACGCAGGCGAGUGAUGCAGUUUCUCAAAGGAUUGAACUCUGAAUUUGAGGCGAGACGUGCUACUUUAUUUCAUCAACCUACUCUACCUACCUUAGAGGAUGCCAUAGCAGCAAUGGCACAAGAGGAGGUCCGAUUAAAGUUGAUGAAGAACAAUACAACGACUCCAUCUCAUCCAGCCUUCAUAGCAACCGACUAUAAGAGCAGAGAGUGCUUCAACUGCAUUGAGAAGGGUCAUUUGAUUCGUUCUUGCACGCUCCACGUAGGAACAUGCGUGGAAGGGGGAGAGGAUAUAACCGAGUUGGAUUAA